rnacentral:tRNA from 1 species
GCUGCGGUAGUGUAAUGGGUCAACCUUGCAGACCGGAUAUUUGUAAGGGCGGGUUCAAAUCCCGCCUGAGACU